GUCUACAGUCAUACCACCCUGAACAUACCCAAUCUCCUCUGAUUUUAGAAGCUAAGUAGGGUCAGGUGUGGUUAGUACUUGGAUGGGAGAUUUCCUGGGAAUACAGGGUACUUAUUCC
rnacentral:rRNA from 1 species